rnacentral:rRNA from 1 species
CGCUGGCGGCGUGCUUCAUACAUGCAAGUCGAACGAGAAUCUGACUUCGGUCAGAGGAAAGUGGCGGACGGGUGAGUAAAAUGUAGAGAAUCUGCCCUUAAGCGGGGGACAACAGUUGGAAACGACUGCUAAUACCCCAUAUGCGCGUAGCUGAGAUGCUAUUCGUGAAAACUCCGGUGCUUAAGGAUGAGUCUGCAUCUGAUUAGCUAGUAGGCGGUGUAAUGGACCACCUAGGCGACGAUCAGUAGCUGGUUUGAGAGGAUGAUCAGCCACAAUGGGACUGAGACACGGCCCAUACUCCUACGGGAGGCAGCAGUAGGGAAUUUUGCGCAAUGGGGGAAACCCUGACGCAAGCAACGCCGCGUGAUUGAAGAAGCCCUUCGGGGUGUAAAGAUCUGUCAGUGGGGACGAAACUUGACGGUACCCACAGAGGAAGCAUCGGCUAACUCCGUGCCAGCCGCUGC